rnacentral:rRNA from 1 species
GUUUGACCUCGGAUCAGGUAGGGUUACCCGCUGAACUUAAGCAUAUCAAUAAGCGGAGGAAAAGAAACCAACAGGGAUUGCCCCAGUAACGGCGAGUGAAGCGGCAACAGCUCAAAUUUGAAAUCUGGUCCCC